CAAAAAUCCAGAUUAAAGAUUGAUCCUGAAAAAUAUGGAAGAAUACUGGGGAUUGCAAAUGAAAGUCACCACUGGAUGCUAGUGGUUAUGUAUCCCAUGGAUAAAAAAACAGUCUUCCUUGACCCGUUGGGAGAAUCCCCAGAAAAAAUAAAGAAGUGCUUGGUAGCAACAA